rnacentral:rRNA from 1 species
UACGUAGGGUGCGAGCGUUAAUCGGAAUUACUGGGCGUAAAGCGUGCGCAGGCGGUUAUGUAAGACAGAGGUGAAAUCCCCGGGCUCAACCUGGGAACUGCCUUUGUGACUGCAUGACUAGAGUACGGCAGAGGGGGAUGGAAUUCCGCGUGUAGCAGUGAAAUGCGUAGAUAUGCGGAGGAACACCGAUGGCGAAGGAAAUCCCCUGGGGCUGUAAUGACGAUCAUGCACGAAAGCGUGGGGAGCAAACAGG